UUUUUUGGAGAGUUUGAUCCUGGCUCAGAGUUAACGCUGGCGGCGUGCCUAACACAUGCAAGUCGAGCGAAG
rnacentral:rRNA from 1 species